rnacentral:rRNA from 1 species
UUUUAAUAUAUCUAGUUUUUUAAGAAAUAAAUUUAAUUUAGGUAACUUAUUUUAAUAAUUUAAUUUUAUAAAUUAUUAUAAUGAGUUAUUAAUAUUUUAAGGGAUGAGCUUUAAAAUAAAAUUUUAUAAAUAACUUUUAUUAAGUAAUAAUUGUAAGCUUAGAAUUAGCUAUCAAUAGAAAUUAUGUUUUAAUUUAUUUUUUAAUUAAUAUUAUUUAUUAUUUAUUUUAAAUUUUUUAUUAAAAUAUAAAUUUUAAUCUUUUAAAUUUAUUAAUAAUGAUAAAAUUAGUAAAUUAAAUAAUUAUAUAAAUAAAUCUAUAUUUUGAUUGGUUUUUAUAAUUAAUUCGGCAAAUUUUGUGCUCACCUGUUUAUCAAAAACAUGUCUUUUUGGUUAAUUAAUAUAAAGUCUGACCUGCCCACUGAAUAUAUUUUGAAGGGCCGCAGUAUUUUGACUGCGCAAAGGUAGCAUAAUCAUUAGUCUUUUAAUUGAAGGCUGGUAUGAAUGGUUGGAUGAGGUACAAGCUGUGUCAUAAAAAUUAUUUUUUGAAUUUACCUUUUUAGUCAAAAGGCUAAAAUAAAGUUAAAAGACGAGAAGACCCUAUAGAGCUUUAUAUAAUUUAUAUUUAAAUUAUUAAGAUUUUUUAAAUUUAAUUAUAUUAUUAUAUUUUGUUGGGGUGACAAUAAAAUUUAUAAAACUUUUAUUUUUAUUAAUCAUUUAUUUAUGUUUAUAUGAUCCAGUUUUAUUGAUUAUAAAUUUAAGUUACCUUAGGGAUAACAGCGUAAUUUUUUUUGAGAGUUCUUAUCGACAAAAAAGAUUGCGACCUCGAUGUUGGAUUAAGACGAAUUUUGGGUGUACAAGUGCUAAGUUUAAGUCUGUUCGACUUUUAAACUCUCACAU